rnacentral:lncRNA from 1 species
UUUUGUUCUGUUUCUGAGUGCCUACUAUAAGCCAGCACUGUUACAAACAUGGCGCUCAUUAUUCUCAUUUAUAGAUGUGAAAAACUAGGCCCAGAGAGGUUAAGAAACACAGCGAGUUCACACAGCUGAGCCAGCGUUGAAACCAUGGUUACCUCCCUCGGAAAAUUGACGCUUUCUUUUUCACAAAUCCACAACAGGUGGAGGUGGGGACGGCAGGAAAUGAGGGAUAAAUGGGGCGCCAAUACUCAGAUCUUGCCUGUCAGCUGGCAGGAGGAGUUUCGGAAACCCUUUCGGGGCUGCCCUAAACGAGUUGUUAUCUCUCCACUCUCUGCCUUCUUCGGGCACAAUUCAGGUUACGUGAUGGAAGAUACAGAUGGAGUUUUGCUUUUUAAAGUCCCAGGGAGAGCUGCGAUCACAGAGGGUUUCUCUGGUUCAGAUCCUGGGCGCGGACAUGGCACCACUCAUCAGGCCAUGCUGAGAUGGCAUCCUGCAUGCAAUGACUGGAAGGACCCACAACUAAGUCCUGGCUUGCAGUCUUCACAGCCUUCACUGAAGCAAAAGGAAGCAUCUGGACUGGUAGCCUUGAUGGCUGAUAUCUCUAUUUCGCCCUUGCCCCACUCUGGGCAGCCUGACCUUAGGAUCCCCUGAUUCCAGCUUGUUUGUG